rnacentral:rRNA from 1 species
UACAGAGGUGCCGAGCGUUAGGCGGAAUCACUGGGCUUAAAGCGCGUGUAGGCGGACUUCUAAGUACCUUGUGAAAUCCCACGGCUCACCCGUGGAACUGCUGGGUAUACUGGUCGUCUUGAGCCACCUAGGGGCCAGCGGAACAAAUGGUGGAGCGGUGAAAUGCGUAGAUAUCAUUUGGAACGCCAACGGUGAAAACAGCUGGCUGGGGGUGUGCUGACGCUGAGACACGAAAGCCGGGGGAGCGAACGGG